rnacentral:rRNA from 1 species
GAUGAACGCUAGCUACAGGCUUAACACAUGCAAGUCGAGGGGUAACAAGAGAAAAGCUUGCUUUUCUUGUUGACGACCGGCGCACGGGUGAGUAACGCGUAUCCAACCUGCCCAUAACUAGGGAAUAACCUUGCGAAAGUAAGACUAAUACCCUAUAAUUUCCUUUGACGGCCUCUGACGAGGUAUAAAGCUUUAACGGUUAUGGAUGGGGAUGCGUCUGAUUAGCUUGUUGGCGGGGUAACGGCCCAACAAGGCAACGAUCAGUAGGGGUUCUGAGAGGAAGGUCCCCCACAUUGGAACUGAGACACGGUCCAAACUCCUACGGGAGGCAGCAGUGAGGAAUAUUGGUCAAUGGGCGGAAGCCUGAACCAGCCAAGUAGCGUGCAGGAUGACGGCCCUAUGGGUUGUAAACUGCUUUUAUACAGGAAUAAAGUUAGCCACGUGUGGUUAUUUGUAGGUACUGUAUGAAUAAGGACCGGCUAAUUCCGUGCCAGCAGCCGCCGUAA